GUACUUGCUUCAGUUGUACAUGCUUGAAUUGGAACAAUACAGAGGAGAUUAGAAUGGCUCAAGGAUGACAUGCAAAUUCGUGAAGCAUUUCAUAUAUAU
rnacentral:snRNA from 1 species